UGGCUCUCGUGUCGAUGAAGAACGCAGCGAAAUGCGAUAAGUAAUGUGAAUUGCAGAAUUCAGUGAAUCAUCGAAUUUUUGAACGCACCUUGCACCUUUUGGUAUUCCGAAAGGCACACCUGUUUGAGUGUCCUGAAUUUCUCAACCCUACUAUUUCUUUUGAAGUAUGUAUUGGAUUGGAUUUUGAGUGUUGCUGUGAUAAAUAGCUCACUUUAAAUAUAUCAGUUAAUUCUUACUGUAACGGAUUGACUCAAUGUGAUAACAUUAUCGUUGAGGAUGCUUUUAAGCAGCCGAAAUUGUAAGGGUGGCUUCUAACCUGCCUCUGUGCAUUGUAACUUUAGACCUCAAAUCAGGUGGGACUACCCGCUGA
rnacentral:misc_RNA from 1 species